CCCGCCGGGCGGUACCUCGCCGUACACCUGGCUCUGCUUUCUCAUGUAGACGUGGGGGAGCUCGGCUGAGGCGGCCAGCUCUUUUGGCGUGGGAUCCCUUAAGAAUCGUGAUUACACAAUAUUUUGGCAACCUGAGUUAUCAACCUAUCUUCACUCCUCUCUGGUCUUCUCAAAGUGGUUACCACAUGGCGGUCCCAGGGAUGUUGGUGGAACAGGAAAUGAAGGACUUCACUGUUUCGUGGCAAGGAUCCUGUCUUCAUUAUGCAGGUUGGAAUGUUUCCCUGGAGAAAUGUGAAAGCCUAUAUGUGGGUCUAAUAUUCCUAUGUACAAGACAGUGACGUUUUCAACAAAGGACAAAUGGUUGCUGUGUUGGAGCAAUGGUCUCUUGGCCUUUGGGAACUGUCCCUACAGGACUCAUCCUGAGGGUCAGUGUCAGGUGACAAAGUGUCUUAAGGACUC